CCCUACGGGGCGCAGCAGUGAGGAAUAUUGGUCAAUGGGCGCGAGCCUGAACCAGCCAAGUCGCGUGAGGGAAGACGGUCCUAUGGAUUGUAAACCUCUUUUGCCGGGGAGCAAGGGCGGGGACGUGUCCCGGCCCGGAGAGUACCCGGAGAAAAAGCAUCGGCUAACUCCGUGCCAGCAGCCGCGGUAAUACGGAGGAUGCGAGCGUUAUCCGGAUUUAUUGGGUUUAAAGGGUGCGUAGGCGGGCUUUUAAGUCAGCGGUAAAAAUUCGGGGCUCAACCCCGUCCGGCCGUUGAAACUGGGGG
rnacentral:rRNA from 1 species